rnacentral:rRNA from 1 species
CCUACGGGUGGCAGCAGUGAGGAAUAUUGGUCAAUGGCCGGAAGGCUGAACCAGCCAUGCCGCGUGAAGGUCAGUGCCCUAUGGGCGUUAAACUUCUUUUGUGCGGGAGCAAUAAUGGUCACGUGUGGCCAGACGAGAGUACCGUACGCAUAAGCAUCGGCUAACUCCGUGCCAGCAGCCGCGGUAAUACGGGGGAUGCAAGCGUUAUCCGGAGUUGUUGGGUUUAAAGGGUGCGUAGGCUGUGGGGUAAGUCAAAGGUGAAAUGCCCCCGCUCAACGGGGUGAAGUGCCAUUGAUACUGGCUGGCUGGAAUGCGGAUGCGGUGGGAGGAAUGUGUGGUGUAGCGGUGAAAUGCAUAGAUAUAACACAGAACACCGAUUGCGAAGGCAUCUCACGAAGCCGCGAUUGACGCUGAUGCACGAAAGCGUGGGUAUCAAACAGGAUUAGAUACCCCAGUAGUC